AUACUUACCUGGCAAGGGAGAUACCGUAAUCAAGAAGGCGGUUCACCCAGGGCGAGGCUCAGCCAUUGCACUCCGGCUGUGCUGACCCCUGCGAAUUUCCCAAAUGUGGAAAUCUCGAUUGCAUAAUUUAUGGUAGUGGGGGACUGCGUUCGCGCUCUCCCCUG
rnacentral:snRNA from 8 species